rnacentral:rRNA from 1 species
AUUGAACGCUGGCGGCAGGCCUAACACAUGCAAGUCGAGCGGAUGAAGGGAGCUUGCUCCUGGAUUCAGCGGCGGACGGGUGAGUAAUGCCUAGGAAUCUGCCUGGUAGUGGGGGAUAACGUCCGGAAACGGGCGCUAAUACCGCAUACGUCCUGAGGGAGAAAGUGGGGGAUCUUCGGACCUCACGCUAUCAGAUGAGCCUAGGUCGGAUUAGCUAGUUGGUGGGGUAAAGGCCUACCAAGGCGACGAUCCGUAACUGGUCUGAGAGGAUGAUCAGUCACACUGGAACUUAGACACGGUCCAUACUCCUACGGGAGGCAGCAGUGGGGAAUAUUGGACAAUGGUCGAAAGCCUUAUCCAGCCAUGCCGCGUGUGUUAAGAAGGUCUUCGGAUUGUAAAGCACUUUAAGUUGGGAGGAAGCGCAUUAAGUUAAUACCUUGCUGUUUUGACGUUACCAACAGAAUAAGCACCGGCUAACUUCGUG